rnacentral:tRNA from 2 species
GGGGUGUGGCUCAGCUUGGCUAGAGCGCCUGGUUUGGGACCAGGAGGUCGCAGGUUCGAAUCCUGUCACCCCGA